rnacentral:lncRNA from 1 species
GGGGUGUAUUUGCCUCAUCAGGUGGAUCCCUUCAUCUUGCAAACUAUUGAGGAAAGCAGUGCAAGUGCUGUCUGUGCUACCGCCGUGUAGUAGGUGUGGGUGAGUGCAUCCUCCUACUGCAGAAGGCUCAGAGCCUUGGUUUAGUGAGGGCAGGUGCUGCUCAUGGGCACAAGUGUUACCUCCGAGGGUUUGCAGCAGCAAAUCCUACCUGCUGCAGCAGGAGUUUCCUACCAGCAGGGAACUGGUGUUAGCUGUGCACCACCAGUCCCUUCUGGCUGCAGCAGGGAACACUUACCCAAGAAGAGAGGCUGUGGCACCGCUCAGUGCCAAGAAAAAGGUUUAGGUACGUCAUUAUUUCAUUCUGAUAAGGAACUGUUGAAGGCUUAUGGUCUUUGACUCCCUUUCUAAUGUUUUGGCUCAGGUGUGAGUUAUGCCCUUGAGAUGGGAGUGCUUCCUGUGACGUACUCAUGGAAGGUUCCAUAGCCAACAAACCUGACAGGCAGUGCGAGGGGAGGAGGUGAAAUGAGGGGCAGUGGCCUGCAGCCAGCAGGCUCCUGUGCUGCUUUUCACACCCAGUAACCAAAGGCAUUUCCUGUCACUCACAGCCACUGUAGGAGCAGCGCUGGGCACACCAAAGAGCAGCCCUGGGAUGCUGCAUCAGUGUGUGCUGUACUUAUGGAAGGUGGGAGGACCAAGAGUGAGGGCUGAGCACUGGGACAGGCCAGAGAAACACAGUUGUACACUGUUGUACAGCAGCUAGGAGGCAGCUCUGUGCUGUAUGGCCACAACCUUCCCAACCUCAUGCAGAAUAAGGAGACACUGUAAGAUUUGAGGCUCAUUUCUAAGGUGAUUAUUACAGUAGGAAGAGAGUUCUUCAGAUGAGUUAAAUCCAUUUAAUGCAGGAAUUCCAAGCCUGCAGUAAGGCACAACCCUGGGGCUAAAGUUAGGUUUGUCAGUUAUGUUCUGCUCUGUGAGAUGCUGCAUUCUGCUGCCAUUUGUGCCACUGCUCGGCUCCUCCACAAGAAAGCCAACCUUAAUCCAAGGCUGCAUUAUCAGGGCAGUGAACCACCUCAGUAGUGGCGGUGUAAGAAAAGCACGGCACUUGUACUGCAAGCUUUGUAUGACUGAGGUUUGAUGGUGUGUUUAAAAAUACAUAUAUAUAUAUUAUUGAAGAAUGUGUUGACAAUAUAUUAGACUUGAAAUAGGUUUACGCUAACAUUUUUUAACUUGUAUCUGCCAUUAAGCGAAGCAUUACAUAUGCAUAGAGGAUAAAUAUUUAUUUAGAGUCUUUUUAAACAAAAUAACGUGUUGUCGCUGCAUACAGACAGUUCUCUACUCUGCAAUAAGGCAGUUGGUACAUUGCUGUGUUAAAAAAAUCAGUCGGCCUUUUCUAAUUGAGUGAGUGGCAAAGGCAAGGCUUGUGUUCUACAGCUUACUGUGGCAAUUUCCAAACAACGAAUGCCAACCCCUCAGAUCUGUGAGCUUUUAGUCAGUCAGAUCUCCUGGAGCAUCCAAACCAUCUCCAGCAUCUCCACAAAUCCGUCCCCCUGCAGAAGGUGUUCUGUAGAACCAAACUGAGCUGCCCCAACCGCAGCCCAAAGCAACAGCCUCGUUACAAGGAAUGCUGUGAAAAAUCAGAAAUCCAUAGCAGUACGAUUCUAUUGUACAGUAAUUACACUUAAAUAAUUUUUAGGACAAGUUUAGAUAGCAAUUAUCAUUACUGCAGAUGUUUAUAAGGAGGAAAUAUAUACGUGGAUCAUCUGUUCAUCGAAUAAUGGGUGCUGAUCUGUCGUUUGUUACUGUUGGUCUGAGUUUCACAGUUGCAAAAGGAUUUUCUCCACUGAAAAGGAAUGCACAAAGUUACUGCAGGGCUCGCUGUGCUGGAAGAACACGUUGCAGUUUCACACCAACAGAUCCUACACGACUCCUAGCUUAGCCUGAGCAUUUAAAACAGCCUUGCCCAGGAGAACUGUCUUGACAGCAGUCCCAGGUUUGGUAAGUUGCUGUCUGGUUCGAUCUGGACGUUCCCUUAAAGGCUUCCAAGGAACGUUGGAUUUAACCCCCACUCUGUGCCAACCUGCAGAAGAAGUGCCUGCUGCUCUGGGGGGGUCUGUGCUCCCCUAACAGCACUUCUGACACUGCGGGUUUAACACUGCUGCCAAUGGUCAGAGUGGCUCAGGAAAGGACAUCCUCAGUUCCCUCAGUCAAUUCGAUAGCAUACAUCAAAAUAAAAAUCAGCGCAGCUGUAACUGAAUAAGCAGCUUUAAAAUGUACCUUAGAAAGGGUGGUUUUACGAUGCCAUUCAUGUCGGGUUUCUGCAAGAGAAAAGGAUUUUGGUACAGAUUUAAAAAGCAACAAAAUGUGCUACAGGUGCUCUCCUCACUGUCCUGCUAAGGAAAAGAGGCCCCACCAUUCAAGCAGAAUGAAAUAUUUAGUAACUUGGACUAAUAGCUGUCUAAUUUAGCUGAGCUGUGCAGAGGUGGGCAGAGAAGAAUGAUCUCAGAACAUCCAAAUGCUGACAGCUGUGUGUGCAUACGGUGUAGAGAAUGGGGUCUUCUUCCCCAGAGGGGUCAGUUCUGUUUUGUUUUCCCAAGAUCAGCAAUUAUUUGAGUCUUCGCCUGCACCGUAUAGGUAAAAAUAUCAGACAUCACCGAAAACUGGCAACCAGAAGAAGAGGACAGAAGCAAAGUGUUGCCAUGCAGUUUCUGUAGCACACUGCAGAAGUGGCUGUGACUGUCAGUGUGUGAGGCCAAAAAAAGCCCAACACCACAUACAGACACCCACCAAACAACCAAAUCCCCAAUCCCACCGCCACAGACACCCUCCUGUGUUCAGCUACUGUUGAUAUGCAGCACAUGGGUGAAGGUGUCUCCCAUGGCUUCUGUGAGCAGUGAAGGUGAACGCAAAGCAAAGCAGUGAGCCCUGGCAGCACCGAUGUGUUUAACCAGCAGUGGCUGCCUGGGAGCGGCACGAGAAGAGGAAUGCCUUUGUACAGGUAUUGUUGUAUUUUGUUCUGAUCAAACGGUCACAUUUGUUGAAAUGUACAAUCUGAAAGCAUUGUAUUUACAGCUACAGUUUGCACUUUACUUCUGUGAUGAGAUUUCCUUCAUCUUUGUGGAUUUGAGACUACCCAGAAGAUGGCAGUGUGGCACUGACACGGCGGUCCUUUGGGGUGCAGUGCUUGGGUGCCAUGAAGUCAGCUGCUGCAACGUGGGGCUGCCAAGCCUGCUGCACAGCGGGGAGGCUUUGGCAAACAUUACACUUGUCCUCUUUUCCACUAAACUUUUAGUAUGAGCGUAUUUAAUUUUAAGUAUUUCAAAUGGCAAACUAAUUGCACUGCUUCCAGGAGGUGUCCGCAUUGGAUACACAGCAGUGCAAUAUUUGGACAAGCAACAAAAUCAAAACUAAUAAUUGCCUAAUUUGAUAUUACUCUUCUUUUUGAGUCAUUGCUUGAAUGAUGACUUAAAAGUAGAAAUACCAAAUUUAUAGAGCAUUAUCCAUUCUGAAAAAAUGCACUUCCACUCAUCUGUAAAAUGCUGAAUGUAGGCAUUAAUUAGUGCUCACAUCCCUCAACAGCAUUCACAGAAGUAGCACUGACUUUCAAGGUGUUGUGUAAAGUACUCCUGGACACAGAGUUCGGCUGUUUUAAGUCCUCUGUCCCACUACAGCUCUGCUGUCACUUAAGAUUAUAGAUCUGUACUGCUUUCCAUGAGAACAUGUUCUCAAGUUUCACAGAUUCUCUUUCUCUGCUAUGCAGGGAAAGCGCAGGGCUUCUAGUGCUCUUAAUUGUAUCCCCAAACAAUUUGGCACCCUCCUUAUUACUCUGGGUAGACUGAGAUACCAGAAAAGCAUAAUAAUCCUGAAGAGUAGCUACUGAAGUCAGGUACAAGUAUCUCAAAUAGCACGGUAUUAAGGGCCUCAUUUAAGAGCUCAGUUAAGUAGGUCAAGAAGAGUAAGCGGUGCAGAACAUUUAGAUGAAUGGCAUUGAUUACUUACCAGACCUGCACUUUCUGGUUUGUCAGUUGGUGUUCUAGCAGCAGUACCUUUGGAAGACUCCAUUCUCUUAUCUGAAGUUGAACCCAGAUAGUCUGGCGGUGGGAGGACAACACCAGCUUUUUCUGCAAGAUUCACUGAGCUAAUACUUCUAACCGGCGCAGCGCUGCAAGACAGAACCCAGCAGGUAAUGUUCAGUUCCCAUAAUACACCUUUCCUCCUUGUCGUUAGUCCCAGGAAAGAACACAAAUGUGUAAUUAAGGCAUGUAAUCUCACUGAAGUCCACGGGACUUUUAAGUUGGACUGAUGAUCAUUCUUAGGUCUCUGUGUCGCCAUUAAACCAUGGUAAUGUGAUCUAGGUAUGACAGUUGGGAGGUACUUACUGCAUAUGUUACUGAACAACUGAUGGUGUAAGCAGAAGAGUAAUAUUUUUAAUACAUGUUAAAGAAGAUUUGGAUAUUUUUUGCACAUUCCAUUCAAAAUAUUACCUUGAUGCUGGAACAAAGGCUUUUUCUUCUGAUUCUUCUAGUGGUCUGGUAUAUGAUGAUGGAAACCAUCCUUUUCUGUAAUGGAAAGGGAUUUCAAUUUCAUAUAAUAUAAAGUUGGAAAGAUUUUUCAGAAGUCAACACCAGACAAAACGGUGGACUCUGGAAGAUGUAACGUUUAAAGGCCGGGGGUUCUGGUAUGCAAGAGCUCCCUGCAACACGUGCAGUGAGAUUCUCCAGAUAGAAGUCCCCACUCAGCGACAGCAGAAAAAGGUGGAAAACCAUGUACUAAUAUCUGCUGGGGACACUUUUCCUUCAUGUUCAAAUUGGGUAAUAAAUUGAUUCUCUUACACUUUAGUUGACUCAUGUUCCCCGUAAAGCCAGCCAUCCUUUUCUUCAGAUACAAGAAGUAUGAUGGUAUCUCCCUGUGCAAAGCUAAGUAAUGUCUUGUUAUUUCCAGCAGUAUGUGGAAAGAUUGUCUUUACUUUCUGCCUUUUCAUUAUGUUUAGCCCUGUGGCAACAGAAGUUGAGCGUGAUAAACUGGCAUCAUCUGAAUUCUCUGUCAAACAAAACAAAAAAGCAAAAUUAACCAUAUUAACAAAGUACAAUUAGCUGUCAGGAAAAGAAGAUCUGGUAAAGCAGUGCUCAAGUGCAGUGUAGUUGUGAGACUUUGUACUGUUUGGGUUCUGCUUAGACUCUCAGUUAUCUUUCAGUGUUUCUUAUCACCAGAGUUCUUAACAGCAUUGCUAUUUGUAUACAUGCACACUCGCUGCCACAGUAAUGUUGAACCAACAGACAUAAAAAGUUCCUUAAGCGUUAACUUGCUACUGCUUUCUUCCCUUGGCAUAAGAAAUGCUAACCAGAAGCAGCUGCAGAAGACUCCAAAAAUUUUCCAUUCUUAAAAAAAGAAACAAGUCCAAGAUGUGAUUUCAUUAUCAUGUCCAGCACUGAGCUUCAGCUGAAUCAAUGACAACUGCAGACACUUGGCACUUUGCAGACAUCAGAUGUUUUCCAGAAGAUGAUUUAAAGGACGUCUCAGAAAUGUAUGUUUUUUGACCAGUAUAGUGCACUUCAAAGGCAUUGUUAAGGAAGAAAUGCUGGAACUGCUGUUCUAGCACUGAAGAGUUCUGCAUUUGCUUUGUUGUGAUGUAGGCUCAGUUCUUUCCCUGUAGCAGAGUAAGUCAAUGACUCAGAUUUUACAGACUAAGAAAAUACUGUAACAGGGUUUUACAUUUCAGGAAGAGAAGUACAGGACAGCUUGUUUUGCCCCACGGGCAUUCUCUCCUGGCUGCUAUACACUCUCAAAGGAAAGCAUACCAAGACUGCAAUGUUAGUUGGUGUCUGUUCGUGUGCACUGAAAUAAUGGUGUGUAUCUGGUCCAAAAUCAUAGAAUGCAUUCUUCUGAUUAGAUUGAGAGCACAGAGAGCAGUUAAGCUGUGUUAAUCACAGAUGCAUGGCAAAUGAUUAAAAUAGAAGUUCAAGGUAGGGAGAUUAAUUUUAUUGCAAACAGUUAUUUCCUUCUUAUGACAUGCACUACACCUACGACGUAACUGCCAUACAAACACUCUGUAAAGACCAUUUUAUGCUCCUCCACAUAUCCUGGAAUUCAAAUCCUGAUAGUAGUAACGAAAUCCCAAAGAUAAUGCUGAGUUCUGUAAGGCGCCCUUUGCACGUACGUGGUUUGCAAUGAAAUGACUCUCACCUGCUGGGUUGGUCGGUCUUUCAGGAGACACCUUUGGAGCCAUGGCAGGAUUGUUGAACAUGUCCACAAGCGGGCUGGUGUAUGCCCUGCCCACAGGAGCAGGGGGCACCUUUGAUGCAUUUUCAUUAUGAGCAUAAAAAUUGUUUCCAAUCUAGAAUCAGAAAAACAUUGUGCUGACAGGGAGGUGACAUGACUUCCUGGGUUAUUUGCAACAUAACCUCUAGAAAGCAAUGCUCAGGUUUUCCCAAAUGGUGUGUAUGUAAGGCCUUUCUGCUGGGCCUGCCUCGCUAUGAAACUUCUGAUAGAAGAGUUUGCAAAGGUCCCAUUCCCUGGUGCACAGUAGUUAGUGGGAAUGCUGUGAAAGCCCAGGUUUCCACAAACAGCCCACUCCUGCAUAGAUCAGUACAUUUCUUAACACGACUACUGGAGUACUGAAUUUAGAAUUUCAGUAACCAAUAGUAACACAACAUGCAAACGGGGGGAACUGAGAAUUUAAUUUUACUUCAGCAUUCUGUAAUAAGAAUCAGAGGGAAGAAGGAAAGAGUAAAAUUUUGUUUAUCUUGAACCUCGAGUAUGUAAUUCCUAGCAUUUACAGACAGGAACAUUGGAAAUAGAGUGGCAAAGAGCAGGGUAGUCCUAAGGCUGUGCUCUGCAGGAAAGCCCUGCACACCCAACUGGAGACAGCCUUCUUUGCCUGUGCGCUUCUGCCUGCUUUACUCUGUGUAUUUCUCCAGCAGCAGAGCUGCUUAAUGGUUUUGCUCUCCUACCCAACCCUAUUAUAUUUUAGCUGAUGCGUGUUGUAGCCUUGAAUCCAAAUGCUUAAGUACAAUAGAAACUAGUGAAGCCAAUCUGGACCCAUUUGAAAGAGAGCCUUGAGCUAUCAGGGAAUGACAUACCAUGGUGUUUCUCUCUAUCAUUGGUGAAGGCUGCGGAGUUCCUGAUAUGGGAGUGGAACCAGGUGUCCUUAUUUCCUCAAUCAUCAUUUUGACUUUUUCAGGAACUUUGGUGGCAUCACUGCAGAUUUCCUGCCACCCAGGCAGCUUGGCGUUGAGGAAUUCUGCACACUGCAUCCACAUGUAAGAGGUACUCAUCAAAGAUACAAUUUUGCAUAAAAUUACACAGAGCUACUUGCUAAUUUUUCUUACAGAAAAAAAGAUAAGCGAAAUGAAAGUCUUUUCAAACAUGUUCAAAGCUAAGUAAUAUCUCUUUGAAGUAUAUAGUAGAAAGAGAUGGUCCUUUUUCAGGGUCAGAUAUUAGAAAUGCCAUACUUCUUCACGUGUGGUUUUUUAAGAAGCCAUAGUAACCCCUUACUGUUCGCAGUGGUACAUUUAUGAGAAUAUCACAUCGUAGACAUUCUCUACAAACAGAUCACAACACUUGUCUGGCACUACAGUGCUUCCACUGCUAUCUAAACUAUUUGUGGCAGUCUCGUCCAGAUACUAGAAGAGAUCUUAAGAUCUCUGAUAUGAUUAGAUUCCAGGAGCUUCAUUUUAUGUACAUGCAUGCCACUGACCUGAGCGUGAUAGAAGUGCAUGUGCUGGGUAAAACUGCAGUGCUUGUCAACUAGAAAACAGAAUCUUCUUUUUUCUUCAAGUAGAGCUUCUCUACAGCCUUCAGCAAUAAAUCUCUGAAUGUCAGUCUGUCGAGAGCUCACGGUUUCCAAAUACUAAGGAAAAAAAAGUAGAUAAAUCACAUAGAGUCUGUGAGCUUUCUUUGAUACUCUGUCCAGUUACCGAAGGGAGUUCCAAAAAGACAAGAAAAAGUUAUCAGAAAGGUGGGGUGCAGUGGCUCUGCUUCCAAGUCAUUCUCUUUUCAUGCACACACCUGACUUCUCCAAUCUCAUCAGACACACAUGUAUUCUUAUUAUAGGCAAUCAGUAUUCCAGGGUGUGAGGAAAGGGCACCAGAGGAGAUUCAGAUGUCAGGAAGAAUUUCUUCACGGAAGGAUGGCUGGGCAUCGGAAUGGCUGCAUGGGCACUGGUGGAGCUGCUGUCCCUGGAGCUGAAGAGACGUGUGGAUGUGGCACAUUGUUUAGGGCUGGACUUGCCAUCAAGACCCAUCCCUCCAUGGUGUACAUGGGGUUCUGGUAACCCCGUGCCUGGAGCAUCUCCGUUGUGAAGGAAGGAUGGCAGACGUGGGGCAUUCAGCCUGGAGGAGACCGAAGGGUAAUGUUACUGAUGCUCAUCAGUGUCUGGUGGGUGGGAGUCAAGCGGAUGGGGCCAGGCUCUUUUCGUGUUGCCCAGCAGCAGGAGAAGGGGCAGUGGGCACUAAGUGUAAGGUAGGAAGUUCCAUACAAACAGCCUACAGUGAUGGGGUGCUGGUGAUUAGAAGUAGAGAAGUAAAUACUACAAGAAGUGAGAGUUACUACAGUAAUUAUUUCCUAUGCAGUAGGAAAGUAAACAGAGUGUAGUCACAUAAACACUUGAAGCAAUGGACACCGGUAAGCGCCCUUGUUAUUCUCAUGGCUGCAGCAGCGAAUGCAGUUGAGUCUGUAGUCCUUGUUUCACCCAGAUCAACUGAGAAGGCACGUAUUUGACUGCAGUGGCAUUUCAAAAUUAGAGGGGUUUUGUAUAACAGGAAAACCCACCAUGCAGUGAUGCAGUGUUAAAAGAAACGGGGGAAUAAUCCGGAUAAGACUACGAAGUUUGCUUGGUUUCAAAUACGCAGAACACAAAGCUGCUGGGAAUUCAUAGGCAUUCGUGGUGAGUGCUGGAAUGGCCAUCAGAAAAUUGCCCCCACGAGUUGUUUAUCCUUUUGAGAGGAGUGUAUGCACUCUGUGUGUAACGCGUGCUGGGAGGAGCUGCUGCCAAAGCCGUGCACUCUGCGAGCAGUUGGCAGCGCCGGCGCAGCGCAGUGCGUUCAGCAGGCAGCCCACAAGGCCGGGCAUUGAGCACACAGCCCUGCAGCGCUGCGCCCGCUGAAACGGCCCAUUCACCUGGAGUGGGGCGGGUGGAAAACCUGACGCUCAGGGCUUGUUAUUCCUGUCUCACACAGCACUCAUCUGACCGCAGCCCGCCAGGCUUUCGGCUUUGAAUACUUGGGUAGAAAACUAGCUACCUUUUUGUUUUGAGCCUUAUUGCAAAGAAUACUGCCCAAACGUAUCCUGAGAUUAAGAGAACCUUAAAAUGGGCACUUCCUUCUGAACAGUUUGUGCUGCAUUAUUUUCCAAGUUUCUUUUCUUUGCACACCCUAGAGCACGUUUUGCUUUUAAACAUCAGUGGCCGUUUCUCUCAUUGCAUCCUCUUUCCCCCCUCACCAGAGGCUCCCUGUGCCCUGCACGUCAGACAAAACCCGUUUUGUGCUGGGAUCUCUUUGCUGCUACCAGCAAUGCAGAGGCACUGGGUGUGCCGACUCACUGCCUCGCCUCCUCUUUCAUGCUCUGAAAAGAGCUCACAGUGAGUGCACGGACCUAUUAAGAGUUAAGUUAUAGUUUACAUUAGAGGUCAGAUUCUGCUCUUUAAAUAGAGAACACUUUGUAAGUGGACGUCUGCCAUGGUCUUUUAUCACCAGUUUAAGAGAAUGGGUUACCGCGUUUGGACGGCCCUCCUGAUUAAGAUUUGUAUAGGAGAAAGGUUUCUGUGGAAGUGUAAGUCAGGAGAGGUAAAAUGAGCCCAGGCCUCCACGUCACAGCACCCAAGUGGGAUGGAAACCAAACAACUUCAGGACAGCACGUUGAUUUUGAUUACAAUUGUGAAUUAUAAAAUAGCUCUAGUAAACACAGUAGGUCAUUAGAUUAAUGAUGACGUCAGGUAGGGCCAGGCCCUGGUGCUUGGUAAUUAUUCAGUUUGUAAAAAGGUCAAGAAAGCUACCUGAAGUGAGGACAAAUGUAUUACUCACAUCAAUUAAAAAUAUUUUGCUAUGUAUUAAAGCUGCUCAUGAUCAGGUUUAGUGAGACCUCUUAAUACACAGUAACCAAGUCUCGACCUUGUCAUCAUUUACUGUCAAACCCCACAGCUAGCAAACAUGCAAAUACACUACAAAAUAUGACUAGACUGCAUGAUAACAGACUGCUUAUGUCCAGCUGAUGACAGACAUACUGUAGACCAAACCAGCUUUAGGCAUCACAUUAUGCAAUGAAUUAACAAACACAAACCACCACUCCUCGUGAUAAACAUAACCAUUACAGCACUUCACUUUCAAAGAUACCAUUUUUUUUGCUUUACAUUUCCCCCCCACUAAACACAAAAUCUCUGUGAUGAAAACAGUAGAAAUAUGUUAAAUAUUUCCACAUUUGUUUUAGAAAACAAAAAUGUAUUCAUAAUUGUUCACGGACAUGUUCUGUUCUGUUAAUAUCAGCUCAGUAUUACAGUGAAGGGAAGAAAGGAAACAACUUUUACAGAUGGGUAUUUCGGGAAAACAUCUCACCUUAAAAGAAAAGUGACCUUAAAAAUAUACCAAGCAUCGUUCAUGUAGAGCAGUUGAAACUAGGCUGUGUAACAUGGCCCCAGUCUGAAAUGUGACCAUGGGUAGUAAUGCCAAAUUGCACAGUAAAUUGAUUUCAGUUUCAGGUGGGUUUGGUGUACAGCAGAACGAUCUCUUAAAAACUUGACCUCUUAGAAGACCUCUUAAAAACUUGAGGGGGGUUUUUAGGCUUACCCGAGGUUCUUAGCUGUGCCUAUGUUUUCUGUUAAGAACGUAAGACAGGCUAGAAUUGCAUUAAUGCUCUGUUGGGUUUGUGUGCAGAAAGAAUAAAUAAGAACCACUAACCCGAAAUACACAACACUUCUCCACACACAGCAGCACGUGAGGAAGAAGACAUCUCUGAACAAUUGCCUUCACAGUAGAUGAAAAACAAGGAAAGCGAUUUCUAGCAGAAAGCCUCGCUUGAAAAUAGAACAGAUAAUAAGCAUCUUCAUUAUGAGGCCAGAAUGUAGAGCUUCUGCAGCAGUUACAGUUCAAUCUCACUGUUCACACUGAGCAAUUUUAGUGGUUGUUUAUCUUUUUAGCUUAUGCUGACUGCUGCUCCGAACAGAAGGUAGGAAGAGUUAGUUCAAAACAGAGACAAAAAUGGAACCAAGAAAACCACUUAAACUUUUAAAAUAUCAAUUGGCUAUCUUAGAACUGAUAAAAUUAUUGAUUUCAUCACCUACUUGAAAUAUAGUUAGGAUUUUGUUUAUCUUUAGAGGAGGUCACUGGAGAAAUGUCAGGUCUCACUAAAGAGACUCUGUUAGGUGCCUGGGAACAAAGUGCCCAAUUAGAAUCACUCCUUUAUCUCCUGUUGUCCUAUUUUGCAUUCAGGGCAGGUCUUUGAGAUGAAGCCAUGUAAUUAUUUGUAUUAAACAAGAGCAAAGGGCUGAGUCAAAGCUACACAUGGAGACAGGACAGGUCAGGCGUAUCAGGAGCUCCCACUUCUGUCAAGAUGCUCUUUCUUCCCAGUUGCCCUUUGCCCAGAAGAAAGGCACUGAUGACUAAGGAGAGCUGGAAACAAAGUCAUUGGAAGCCAUUAGCCCCCGAAAGGAGGUGAAAUGGGAAGUCUCAAAAGAAUGCAGCGCAACAUAAAUAUAACUGACCUAAACAUCUGUUAAACUUCAAGUACAUUCAAUUUACCAUUCUCUCAUAGGAAGGAUUUAUUGCAGAAGGACUUAACUGUGCAGCAGAUACUUGAAAGAAGGCAGAAAGUCUUAAUGGAAAUUAGCAUAGAUGAAAAAAUAAGAAAAGGCAAAACAGUGUGUUGGUUUCCAAACCACUGACUGUGCUCUGCUUCUAAUGCAGCUUGCCCAGAAUACUUGUGGGGGGAGACAACGUGUAGGGUUAAUGCUCGUGCGCACAUAAAUCCACAGGACUAGGUCAAGUCUGCCUUUCCUUACUGCAUCAGCGAACACGAAGUGGGCAGCAAGGAAUAAAUCUUCCUGAGGUUAAUUUUAUGAAGUGGCACUGACACGUGGCCAUUCAGUGCAUGCUAUGAAGGUGACUGCAGAGGGUGAAGGAAGAACAAAAAAGAAAAAGAGGAGUCAAAUCUACAGUAGAGCAGGAGGGAAGAGAGCUCAGAGGAUAACAAAGUGUUUGAAGUCUGCUAGAGGUGGUAAGCCCCCAGCACGCAGAAGCACUGCUGAAUGGAUGGUUAUGUUUUGAUAGGACAGAAUUCUGUAAUGUCAUAUAUAAAGCAAAAAAGCAAGAUUUUCAGUUUCUAAACGGGACUCUCAGAUCAAUUUAUAUUUCCAAAUAUAGAAAGUUCUCACUAAAAUAGCAAUAGAUAUUUCUGCAGUAUAACAACCAAGUAUGUUAAUUCGCCUGAAACAAAUUAGACACAGAUUAACAUGAACAAAGCCUCCUUUAUCCUCAGAUCGUGUGUGUUCAUGUAGGAGCGCAGCACACUGAAAUCCAAGUGAUACCGAUCGUGGAUCGGGAAGAGUGGAAUGAAACAUUCUGCUGUUAUUUAGACAUGUAAAAGUAAAAUCCAAAGCUCACACCUCACUUUGCAGAUUUGCCUUCUUCCCUUCGUACACAGACAGGAGCUGCCAUGAAGUUCUGUCCAUCCACUUCACAGUAAAGUGAAGGUAAAGAUACAGGUAAAGAUAUAGCAUAGUUUUCAUGGGAUCAGAGCCAUUUCAGAGUUCUUUUCACUUUUCUCCACAUCCUCUGAGUUUAUUCAGUUGAGUAAUUUCUUCCCAGCUACAUCCUAGCCAAAAUACUUUAGCAAGAGACCAGAGCUGCUUUGCUCAGGCUGUGUUCUAGCUACCAUAGACUUUCUUCUGCUGGAGGUACCUUCUACCAUUUUACUUCUCCAGUCAGUGCUGUACACUGGGUUCUGUGCUUCCUGAAGUGUUUGCUUCAUUGCAAUACGCACAUCUUUGUAUGUCCAUAUAGCACAUACAAGUAAAUACAUACAAAUAUGUAUAUUUAACACUGACAGCUCGUUCCCUCUGUGCCAAAGGCAAAGAGCAUCAGGAGUGAAUACAUGAGCAAUUAGCAAGACUGUGAGAAUUUCCAGUUCCUCUAAGUUUGUUCGUGGUGUGAUGCCCCUAUUUUACUAUUUAAACAGGACAACGAGAAAGGCUUAUGUUAUUUUAAAGAGAAGUGUGACUUUCCAUUUGAGCGACUUCCAGCCUGGUCUCCUUCCCUUUUCUCUCCCAACCAGUCAAAGAAAAAAAAAAUCAGAGGUUAAAUUGUUUUAAACCUACUGUAUCACUGAACAGAUGACAAUGAACAUGAAAUAUUUAUCUUGUUUCAGAUGAUUGGUAAGUAUGGUAACUAAAUUUUAAUGUUAAUUAAGAAAGGAAAGGAAAAGCGUAUGCCACAUAAAUAAUGCAUGAAAAAUGGCAAACUUGUUUUUCCACCUGUUACUCCAUCCAUAAUAUCUUUAAAGACUGACAGAGGCUUUUUUUUUUAACCCAAGCAUAUAAAGCAGACUACAUUAAGGUAUGUAUGUCACUGACAUCUUCCAUGGGGCCCCGGAAGCCUUAAUUACAACAGCUUCUCAUACUGGAGCUGCAGUGGUGUUGAGAAGCAGCUUGCAGGCCUUACCAAUCAGGUGUGAGGAAAUAAGUGACAACACAAGCACAAGCCUGAGCUUGCCUGCUGGACGCCCUGCUGCUUGUAGGCAGAUUACUUAGGGGUGAUCAUACAGCAAAGCCACCCUGUGUCUGAGCAGCACUGCAACAAGCAAAUGGCACAGAACAGCAAAAGCGGAGGUUCCUAAUGGGCUUCCAGUGCAAAAAAAGGAUGAAUACCUAAGGCACUGUGCUGAGUGCUACAUGAAAUACCAUGCCACGUGGGGAGUCACUGCCUUUCUUAAUCACGGCGAUCUGAAGCUGCUGGUAUCAAAGGUGUCUCCAAAGUGAGACGUUUUGGGUAAAGGCUUUUUUGUGGAAUUCCAAGAGAAGCUGUUCUCCUCCUUAGGAAUGUAAAUGGCAUCUCCAGCUGAUCCUGGGCUUUGUUCAGGAAUUGUUAAUUAGUAAGAGCUGACUGUACGGACAAAAUAAAGGUAGAAUUUCGGUUAGGGGAUUUACAAGCCAGUUACAUACAUGAUGUGAUCUUUGCAACUACGUCAUUUGCUUUCCAUUUUC